AUUGAACGCUGGCGGCAGGCCUAACACAUGCAAGUCGAAUGGUAACAGGAAACAGCUUGCUGUUUCGCUGACGAGUGGCGGACGGGUGAGUAAUGUCUGGGAAACUGCCUGAUGGAGGGGGAUAACUACUGGAAACGGUAGCUAAUACCGCAUAACGUCGCAAGACCAAAGAGGGGGACCUUCGGGCCUCUUGCCAUCAGAUGUGCCCAGAUGGGAUUAGCUAGUAGGUGGGGUAACGGCUCACCUAGGCGACGAUCCCUAGCUGGUCUGAGAGGAUGACCGGCCACACUGGAACUGAGACACGGUCCAGACUCCUACGGGAGGCAGCAGUGGGGAAUAUUGGACAAUGGGCGCAAGCCUGAUGCAGCCAUGCCGCGUGUAUGAAGAAGGCCUUCGGGUUGUAAAGUACUUUCAGCGGGGAGGAAGGGAGUAAAGUUAAUACCUUUGCUCAUUGACGUUACCCGCAGAAGAAGCACCGGCUAACUCCGUG
rnacentral:rRNA from 1 species